AAGAACGUGAGGCUGUGCCUGCUUCAACCCCAGUCUCUCUCCCACCUUGCUUCCCUGGCAGCCACCUCCUGCAGGAGUCGCUCGCUAAAGUCACCUCUCACGGCCUCUGCACAACACCUGACACCUGAAACGCAGGAGAAAGAAAAUGGAAUCAGUACAGACCGUUCCUGAUUUAUGGUGGUUCAACUUACAACUACAUCAAUGAAUGACUUGAGACGUUCAACACCUUAUUAUAAAGCACGCUGUGUGUUAGAUGACUGUACCCAACCGUAUGCUAAUGUAAGUGUUUUGAGAAUGUCUAAGGCAAGCGAGAUGGACCCAUGGCGUUCUGUAGAUUAGGUGUAUUAAGCACAUUUUCAACUUACCAUAUUUUUAGGUUGCAAUGUGCUUAUCAGGACGUAACCCCAUCAUAGCUCGCAGAGCAACUGUUCUGGACGAGACUACCCAUUGGUUGAUUGCCAUGACCGCCUCCCUCCACCCGCCCACUAGCAUCACAGCAGAAAACAAACUUGUUUAACUGGACAUUGUAUCAAACACCACCAGUAACAUGUGCCCAGAAUGUUAGGGGCAAAACAAUACAUCCAUUGCAUAAUCCCAUAUGCAAGACAGGAGUCAAAGAACCAGCUUCUAUUUCAUCCCUGACACAUAUGGUAGCCACACAGAUGUGGAUUUAUGAUCCACGGGGGAUUUAUGAAAUACUUCUUCUAGAGUCUUUUUUCUUCUGCAGUGAGCCUCUCUCACCCCUCAUUCAUCC
rnacentral:lncRNA from 10 species